AUAAGAAAACUUCUAUAGGACCACUGGAAAAGAGAGAAAGAUACCACUGACACGAGAAAAAUGUGGAACUUCAGGAAUGUGUGCAACAGAGGAGAUUAACUGAAGCAAAACCCGAGGAGACUUGAACAGCAGUUUCAGAUUCCACAGGACCUGAAUCACUCCAGGAGUCAAAAUAUACAUGGUGGUGGAGACUGGGGGUGUGGAUGCCCUCAGGAGAGUGUACUGAGGGACAGGAGAAUGAGAACAAGAACAGAAAUCUAAUUUUGGGAAACUAAGGAGCAGGCGGAGGAAGAGGAGCCCAUGAAGCUGAUGGAAAAGGAGCAGCUGGGGAAUGAAGACCGUAGUGAAAAGGGGUAUCACAGAGACCAC